CAGAAUACAGCGAAUGUUUCCGUGCCACCCAGAACACCACGAGCGCGUGUCUGCAUGCCAGUAGACGUCAAUUCCGUGCACGUCCAGUUCCUCAACACACGGAGUCCCUGGAUGAGCUAUCUAGAAGACACUGUGGGACCAUUGAAGACCUGAUGGCCUGUGGUUACAAGCCUGUGUCGCGCACCUGUGGGCACGUGCAAGGUGUGCUGUACCUGGAAAUCAUGCAGAGACUGCUCUCAAAACGUGCCGUCGACGCCUGCAUUGGACCUCAAGUGCGUCUUCAGUACAGUAUCCAUGGUUACGAGCACCUGCCAUCUCUCAAGAUAUCGUCAGGAGCAGGAUUCGCCCCCAUCUCAUACCAAGUGUUUCUGGGAUUAUUCGGCGCCUUGCUCUCUGUGACCAGCGACGUCGGGGUGGAUUUCUGACCAAUGUCAGCGUUGAACCCCCACAUUUGGAACUUUGUGACACAGGAAUAAUCACGACUUGUGAAGUGACGAGUGACCCUCAUUUCAACACGACAUCCAGUAACCUGCUGUAACAUCUGACAACACAUCUCCAUCAGGUCAUGUAGACCAUGGGCUGUUCAGGUCCUCCGUGGAAUCCAGAGCGUCGAGCUACACAGUUUGGAUAUGACGACAUGCAUCAGCCGUGUCAGCAAGCCUGACUACCUAAACACGUCAGUUGCCCUUGGCGGAAGCAUUCAAACAAAUGAAAUAUAAACAUUAAGAUAAACAAGGGCCACGCAGGUAACAAUAGAAUUUUGGUUUAUGGUACAUCUUGUAAAAUUGUUUGCAUUAAAACAACACAUAUCGA